rfam:Pan troglodytes isolate Yerkes chimp pedigree #C0471 (Clint) chromosome 15, whole genome shotgun sequence.
UGCCAAGCGGGUGUCCGCACUAAGUUCAGCAUCAAUAUGGUGACCUCCUGGGAGCAGGGGGCCACCAGGUUGCCUAAGGAUGAAUGAACUGGACCAGAUCAGAAAGGGAGCAGGUCAGGACUCCCACACCGACUGGUAGUGGGACUGUGCCUGGGCA